GUAAAUGGUGACUUACCUUCUUGGGAAGCUGCGAAUACAUCUUUUAAACCGAAUUCCAUGGACACGAACCUUGGAGCAAGUCAUGGAUGAUGAGAUAGAAUUUUUAGAAAGAUACAUGAGACAAUCUAUGUUGAAGCUUAGGCAAGAAUGAGGGAAAAUGGUGCUUGAGAAGAUUGUGAUACAUAUCAUAGGUGAAGUUUUAGAUUCUUUCUGUUAGUUAGAGUGCUUUAGAGACAUGAACAAAAAGUACUUUUAGAGAUGAUAACCAUUUAGGUACUAACUUACUGAUUUUAUGUGAUAUGCAUAUUUUUUUCUGUGUUAUUUGCUUACUUGAUCAAUUCUAUAAAUAAUCUUCAAAUAGAAUAGCUUAUUGUAUAAAGGGAAAACUGCCAUUUUGUUCUUCGAAUGUGUAAGUUGCGGUCAUUUUAGUCCCUUAAUGUAUCAAAAUUCUAAACA